CGGACGGGUGAGUAAUGUCUGGGAAACUGCCUGAUGGAGGGGGAUAACUACUGGAAACGGUAGCUAAUACCGCAUAACGUCGCAAGACCAAAGAGGGGGACCUUCGGGCCUCUUGCCAUCGGAUGUGCCCAGAUGGGAUUAGCUAGUAGGUGGGGUAACGGCUCACCUAGGCGACGAUCCCUAGCUGGUCGGAGAGGAUGACCAGCCACACUGGAACUGAGACACGGUCCAG
rnacentral:rRNA from 1 species